rnacentral:rRNA from 1 species
GACGAAGGGGGCUAGCGUUGUUCGGAAUUACUGGGCGUAAAGAGUGUGUAGGCGGUGUUCCCAGUCUGUUGUGAAAUCUCCCGGCUUAACUGGGAGGGUGCAGCGGAAACUAGAAUGCUAGAGGGUGGGAGAGGUAAGCGGAAUUCCUGGUGUAGCGGUGAAAUGCGUAGAUAUCAGGAGGAACACCGGUGGCGAAGGCGGGUCUCUGGGCAGUAACUGACGCUGAGGAGCGAAAGCGUGGGGAGCGAACAGG